AUGAGGCUUCUAGUCAUCUCCAGCCUUCUCUGCAUCUUGCUCCUCUGCUUCUCCGUCUUCUCUGUGGAAGGGAGAAAAAAUUCUAGUCAUCUUAUCAAGCCCUCAAAACGCAGGCUCUGCUGUUCCCGAGUUCCCAGCCCUGCCCUGACGACCCAGAAAGGGCGCCCUGUGAGGCUCUGCAGACCGUGUAAGUUCAAGCCAGAGUCCCGCAUUUGGGUGGUACCUGGGGCUCUCCCGCAAGUGUAAUGUUCCCCAGACAAGACUGCACACAGCUAAGACCCUCAUGCCCAGUGCUCGAGGCACCCGGAAGUCUCAGGUUCUCCCAGGAUGCUCCUCUCGAAGCUGGGGCUGAUGGCAAAGAUGUCAAGAGCUUCGGCCCAUGGAAGCUUCUACCCAUGAACAUGAGCCUCUUCUCUUAAAGACACAACAUUUCUUCCUGCCACGUUGGACUGUGCUCACAUUGCCUUUUAGAAAAGCCUGAACUAGAAUUUUCUGAAAACCACAACAUAAAUACAAAGGUCAAAAAUCUGGAAUGCCUGUCUUGCUGUGUGGCCUUGAACGAGUAAGUUAGCUUCUCUGGGUUCAUGUUGGCUUCAGAGAUGUAAAGUCGGGAGAGAAAAAAACCCUUCAAGGAAGACCCUUCAGUCACUGGCAUCAGUUGGUUUCACUACCCUUUUCAACCCUCAUGACAGUGAACUGGGAGGUUGGAGGGCUUCACCUUGGGCAGAAAGGGCCCUAAGAAAGUUCCAGAAUUUCAGAUGCCAGUCCCAAUUAUGCCACCAACUUUCAGAGUUAUUCAGGCUCCGCCCACUUGGUCUCAGUCCCCACGGGGCCCCUACAGUGCUGACAGUCAAGAUGCCACUCUGACUUGUGUCAGCUACAGAUCCAGACCCUUCUAAGCCGGCUAGGGUGGAGGGUAACAGGCCCCCAAGAGCAGCGACCAAGUCUGCUGAGGCACAGCCGUCCUGAGAUACACGUAGCCUCUAACCGUCCCACAUCUGAUGGCCCCUGAAGGAACCGCUUCCUAACUUCCUGAUGUGAGUCUGCCGGGAAGAACCCUCAAGCACACAAAUAAUCAAUAAACACACAAAAUGCAUGGCA
rnacentral:lncRNA from 1 species